GGGCGGAGGAGUUCUUGUGCUGUAGUUCGAAUACUUUGGUGUCAUUGGUACCUUCAAUCUGCCAGAGCUGCAGUCCACAGACAGAGAGAGAGAGUCAGAGUGAGAGAGGGCGUUGAUAUGAGAGAGAAAAGCAGUGUGUGCGCAAAUGUGUUAGGAUGAAGAGAGAGAGAGAACUAAGGGGUGAGGUUCCCAAUGUUAAUCCAAGUCUCUGCCAACAAUGAGUCUGUCCUUUCUCACCGUCUCUCUGAUCUCCAUCCUGUGGCCCUGUCUGUCACUGGGAGCUUUGGUGACUCAGAGGCCGCGGACAGUCACAGCCAGAGAGGGGGAGACAGUGACUUUGAAUUGUCACCAGGACGAUACUGCCAGUACUGACAUUACGAUGCUCUGGUACCUCCAACCCCAUCAGGGAGGCCUCACAUUGGUCGGAUAUAACCGAUACUCAACCGAAUAUGAGGACAAGUUUAAAUCCGGCUACAACAUUACCAAGACACCUGACAACAUGAACUCCACCCUGGAGAUCACCAACAUGAACCCAACCCAGGAGGGGGUGUAUUACUGCGCUGCGAGAGAAGGGCACAGCGUGAGAGAGAGACAGAUCUCUCGUACAUAAACCUCACACAGGAUAC